UGGAUAGGUACCCAAGCGGUAAAGGGGUCUGGUUGCUAACCAGAUAGUAGGCUGAGGUCUAGCGGAGGUUCGAAUCCUCUCCUAUCCGU
rnacentral:tRNA from 2 species